GCGCUCACUUUGACAGCACAUGUACUAAAAUUGGAAUGAUACUGAGAAUCAUUGCACAUGGCUCCUGUGCCAGGAUGACACACAAAUUAAAAAUGAAAUUAAAAUUUUA
ensembl:snRNA U6 U6 spliceosomal RNA